rnacentral:rRNA from 1 species
CGGCGAGUGAGCGGCAAAAGCUCAAAUUUGAAAUCUGGUACCUUCGGUGCCCGAGUUGUAAUUUGGAGAGGGCAACUUUGGGGCCGUUCCUUGUCUAUGUUCCUUGGAACAGGACGUCAUAGAGGGUGAGAAUCCCGUGUGGCGAGGAGUGCGGUUCUUUGUAAAGUGCCUUCGAAGAGUCGAGUUGUUUGGGAAUGCAGCUCUAAGUGGGUGGUAAAUUCCAUCUAAAGCUAAAUAUUGGCGAGAGACCGAUAGCGAACAAGUACAGUGAUGGAAAGAUGAAAAGAACUUUGAAAAGAGAGUGAAAAAGUACGUGAAAUUGUUGAAAGGGAAGGGCAUUUGAUCAGACAUGGUGUUUUGUGCCCUCUGCUCCUUGUGGGUAGGGGAAUCUCGCAUUUCACUGGGCCAGCAUCAGUUUUGGUGGCAGGAUAAAUCCAUAGGAAUGUAGCUUGCCUCGGUAAGUAUUAUAGCCUGUGGGAAUACUGCCAGCUGGGACUGAGGACUGCGACGUAAGUCAAGGAUGCUGGCAUAAUGGUUAUAUGCCGCCCGUCUUGAA